rnacentral:rRNA from 1 species
AUACGUAGGUGGCAAGCGUUGUCCGGAAUUAUUGGGCGUAAAGCGCAUGUAGGCGGUUUGGUAAGUCGGUCGUGAAAAUGCGGUGCUUAACGCCGUAUGGCGAUUGAAACUGCUGAACUUGAGUGCAGGAGAGGAAAGGGGACCUCCCAGUGUAGCGGUGAAAUGCGUAGAUAUUGGGAAGAACACCGGUGGCGAAGGCGCCUUUCUGGACUGUUUCUGACGCUCAGAUGCGAAAGCCAGGGUAGCGAACGGGAUUAGAUACCCCGGUGGUCCUGGCCGUAAACGAUGGUUACUAGGUGUGGGAGGUAUCGACUCCUUCCGUGCCGGAGUUAACGCAAUAAGUACCCCGCCUGGGGAGUACGGCCGCAAGGCUUAAACUCAAAUGAAUUGACGGGG